AAAAUGUUAACAUGUCUUUGCAGAUAUAUCAUAAACCUUUUGCAUAUCAAUGUUGUUUUUAAAUAUCACAAAUAAGGAAAAAGGAAGGUUUCAGUGAAUCUUGAAGUGUUAGAUUAUAAUUGGAUGUCUAAAUAUGAACUGAUGAACUAAAAUAACUUGAUGAUUACUUUGCAUAUAUCGAUAGUUGGGGAUGAGGUAAAUGGUUGAAAAAUAGACAUAUAGAAAGAUAGGGUAUAUCCUUAAGUGGUGUGUACUGAACACUCACAUUUUUAAAAUUCUGUCCACAGAGAGGCACUGAUUCCUGUGCUGAAAUUACUUCACAUAUAACAUUGAAGUUUUGACCACUGUAUUGAUGCUAAGAAAUCAAUAUUAAGAGAAUUUAGCCAAAUGAUAAAAGAGUAAGCAGCCGGUUUCUAGCUACUGCAGCCACCAUGUGCAUUCCCUAUCCAGAGGACUCACCCCAGGAACUUUAAGUGAAUCUCCGAUCUUCAAUGCAAGGAAGGCAGAUAGAGCAUCUCAUUCAAAUGGGUGAGAGAAAGGAGCUCAGAAGAGCAGUCAUGGAGGACCAAGAAGCAGUAGCAAACAGGCCCAGUGUGAGGAAAUCCAGGUGGUCAUCUUCAAAGACCUGUCUUCAGUUCCUAUUCUGCCAGCUAGACACCAGCCUCUAAACAUCUUAUCUUCCCAAAAGUGUUCAUUGGCUGUACUGUAAUGGAAUUGCUCAUAAUAUGAACCUCUGAAGCAAUUUCUGGUUUGAAUGAUAAGAAUAUUUUCAUUACAGGACAAAAUAUAGGAAAUACCGAAUUAUUUAAUUUUCCCUUUAUGAUUCUAACAUUUGGAAAAUAAAAGAACUAAAAACAAUGCAAUUUCUAGGAAAUAUUUGUGAAUAGAGUAACUUGUAACAGCACAACAGACAACAAAGAACAUUUAAGAAGAAACGGUAUCCUGUGCCAAUAGGCAUAUGCUCAAAGGA